AACUCGAUCUCAAAUCAAGUAAGACUACCCGCUGAACUUAAGCAUAUCAAUAAGCGGAAGGAAAAGAAACUAACAAGGAUUCCCCUAGUAACGGCGAGUGAAGCGGGAUGAGCUCAAAUUUAAAAUCUGGCUGGUUUACUAGUCCGAAUUGUAGUUUAUAGAAGCGUUUUCGGUGGCAGCCUGGGUAUAAAUCCUUUGGAAUAGGGUAUCAUAGAGGGUGAGAAUCCCGUCUUUGACUCAGUGCAUGCUACUAUGUGAUACGUUUUCAAAGAGUCGAGUUGUUUGGGAAUGCAGCUCAAAAUGGGUGGUAAAUUUCAUCUAAAGCUAAAUAUUGGCGAGAGACCGAUAGCGAACAAGUACCGUGAGGGAAAGAUGAAAAGAACUUUGAAAAGAGAGUUAAACAGUGCGUGAAAUUGUUGAAAGGGAAACGUUUGACACCAGUUAUGCGGGUGGAAAAUCAGUCUUUUGCAAUGGGGAGUUGUGGGCGUUCAGACCGCAAGGCUGGCGUUUGCUUCAUCUUUGUUGUAAGUGAUGCACUUUUUCAUUUGCAGGUCAACAUCAGUUUGCUUUGCUGGACAAAACCCCAAGGGAAGGUGGCAGCUUAGGCUGUGUUAUAGCCCUGGGGCGAUACAGUGGAGUGGACUGAGGUUUCGCAGUGUGUGCUCUCGGGCAAGGCUGACUGGGUGCUAUGGGAUCGUUCGGCGUACAAUGCAUGCAUUUUGCGUCGUGUCUUUUUCAUACUCGCUCAACUCGGCUCUUCCACACUUAGGAUGUUGACUUAAUGGUUUUAAACGACCCGUCUUGAAACACGGACCAAGGAGUCUAACAUAUAUGCAAGUGUUUGGGUGGCAAACCCAUGCGCGUAAUGAAAGUGAACGUAGGUGCGAUCCGCAAGGUGCAGCAUCGACCGAUCUUGAUAUUUUUGGAUAGAUUUGAGUAAGAGCAUAUAUGCUG
rnacentral:rRNA from 1 species